AACAACAUUUGACAACCAAUGGCUGCCAUAAAUAAACAGGAAGUGUGGGAAAAUACUAAAACCAGAUCAAAUCCGGAAACGGACAAGUAUAUAAUUCCGGGUUUGUCAAUCAAAUACAGUUAAAAAAAAAUGAAAAGAACCAAACAUGUGACAGCUAUCAUAGCAACACUAAAAUUGAAAAGUAAAAGAUAUAUAUAAAAGAAAAUAGAAACAGGA
rnacentral:lncRNA from 1 species